rnacentral:tRNA from 1 species
GAGGUUGUGGCUCAGAGGAGGAGCGCUCACCUAGUAUGGGUGAGGCACUGGGUUCGAGCCUCAGCACCACA